GACAAACGCUGGCGGCGUGCUUAACACAUGCAAGUCGAACGGAAAGGCCCUGCUUUUGUGGGGUGCUCGAGUGGCGAACGGGUGAGUAACACGUGAGUAACCUGCCCUUGACUUUGUGAUAACUUCAGGAAACUGGGGCUAAUACCGGAUAGGAGCUCCUGCUGCAUGGUGGGGGUUGGAAAGUUUCGGCGGUUGGGGAUGGACUCGCGGCUUAUCAGCUUGUUGGUGGGGUAGUGGCUUACCAAGGCUUUGACGGGUAGCCGGCCUGAGAGGGUGACCGGCCACAUUGGGACUGAGAUACGGACCAGACUCCUACGGGAGGCAGCAGUGGGGAAUAUUGCACAAUGGGCGGAAGCCUGAUGCAGCAACGCCGCGUGCGGGAUGACGGCCUUCGGGUUGUAAACCGCUUUCGCCUGUGACGAAGCGUGAGUGACGGUAAUGGGUAAAGAAGCACCGGCUAACUACGUG
rnacentral:rRNA from 1 species